CUUGGGUCUGAAGAGCGUUUUCCCACAUGACCCUGGCCGAAGAGGCAAUUUAGCUAGGUUGUCUCUGUUACUGAAACGUCUCGAAGGCAUUUGUUUCAACCCUUCUGAUCUAAGUAUACACCUGCGUAUUUCUACACUGAAAAAUAGAACCCGGGCUAGGACUAUCGAUUUUGUGAAAGGUGUUUGCCACUGGAAUAACUUGGAGUCAGCCAGCCGUGUAUGCUACUUUCUGCCAAAGACUUUUGGGCCAUGGGGUUUCUUCACUACAAAAAUGAGUCCUUCCUAUCCCAGAGCAAUUGUGCUUAGUCUGUAUGGCUUGGGUGGAGUUUCCUUCCACCUCCCAUCCCACAAGAAAAGUCACGUGGCCUGGCCUUCAUCAGUUCCAGCAGGUAUUCCAAGAUUCUUUGCAGUGAUUGGCUCAGAGAUAUGUAGCAAUUGUUGACAUUUGGAGUUUCUUGACUCUCUUUGAUUGCAACUUUCUGUGCCCUGUUGCAAUAAAAUUCAGUUAAUACAGUAAUUAGUAUUCUGU
ensembl:lncRNA